UCUUAUCAUUCGAUAAGAAAAAAUCUGCAGACAGGGACGGGGAACCCACCCGCUCUUUAAUAAAAGAGCAUCGGAGGUCAACUCCUUGGGGUGAAGCCGGAUUUUCCGGCAGGGCAUAUCCUCCGCCCUAACCCGACAGCUAACCUCGACGGCGACUAAUGAGAGGAAAC
rnacentral:sRNA from 2 species